UGGGGAAUAUUGCACAAUGGAGGGAACUCUGAUGCAGCGACGCCGCGUGAACGAAGAAGGCUUUCGAGUCGUAAAGUUCUUUUAUAUGGGAAGAUAAUGACGGUACCAUAAGAAAAAGCCCCGGCUAACUACGUGCCAGCAGCCGCGGUAAUACGUAGGGGGCUACGGUGUUCCGAAACCAUGGGGGGUAAAGGGUUCGAAGGCGGAAAUGCAAGUCGGGUGUAAAAGGCAGUAGCUUAACUACUGUAAGCAUUUGAAACUGCAUAUCUUGAGAAGAGUAGAGGUAAGUGGAAUUUUUAGUGUAGCGGUGAAAUGCGUAGAUAUUAAAAAGAAUACCGGUGGCGAAGGCGACUUACUGGGCUCAUUCUGACGCUGAGGAACGAAAGCGUGGGUAGCAAACAGG
rnacentral:rRNA from 1 species